GGUAUAGUGUUAGGGGAUUAGGAGUAAUUAAGCAGAUAAUAGACAACGUCACACGAUCACCGGACCGGCGGGAAUAUUUGCACCCAUCACCAAUGCAGUACACAAUACACUACACAUACCGGUACUCUAGCUACAUACUCACGCCACUCAAGCAGAUCACUCCAUACUCAAACCCCCGCACAGCACAGACGUGUCGUGACCGAGCGAGAGGGUUCAAUAUACAAGUGAAUAAGGUACACAGAUAAGCGUAGUGAGCUUAUUUAAAUUAUAUCAAGGCAGAGACAAGUACACAAUACACUACACAUACCGGUACUCUAGCUACAUACUCACGCCACUCAAGCAGAUCACUCCAUACUCAAACCCCCGCACAGCACAGACGUGUCGUGACCGAGCGAGAGGGUUCAAUAUACAAGUGAAUAAGGUAAGACUUUUUCCAUGUGUGAAGUGUACUUGAGCUAGUGAGUGUGUAUGACUGUAAGUGUUUCGGCCCCUCCACAAUAGUGGU